rnacentral:lncRNA from 1 species
GCAGCCUAGACCCUCCCAGGAGGACUUUGCUGAAGAAGACACAGCAGAAAGAAGAGAACAGGCAAUGCCGACAUAACUGGCGCCCUAUCUGAUUCUUGCAUCCUUCAGUAAACAACUUUGGAAAAGACUCCUGCCCUCCUGGGGCUUCUCUUCUCUGAAAAGAAAGUUCUCCCGUCACCUCUGCUUGGCGAGGCAGCCCUGAAUUAAUCUACCAUGCAACUGACAGG